rnacentral:rRNA from 1 species
AACGCGAAGAACCUUACCAACCCUUGACAUCCUAGGACAACUCCAGAGAUGGAGCCUUCCUUCGGGACCUAGUGACAGGUGCUGCAUGGCUGUCGUCAGCUCGUGUCGUGAGAUGUUCGGUUAAGUCCGGCAACGAGCGCAACCCACAUCCUUAGUUGCCAGCAGUUCGGCUGGGCACUCUAGGGAAACUGCCCGUGAUAAGCGGGAGGAAGGUGUGGAUGACGUCAAGUCCUCAUGGCCCUUACGGGUUGGGCUACACACGUGCUACAAUGGCAGUGACAAUGGGUUAAUCCCCAAAAACUGUCUCAGUUCGGAUUGGGGUCUGCAACUCGACCCCAUGAAGUCGGAAUCGCUAGUAAUCGCGUAACAGCAUGACGCGGUGAAUACGUUCCCGGGCCUUGUACACACCGCCCGUCACACCAUGGGAGUUGGUUCUACCCGACGGCCGUGCGCUAACCUCUCUGAGGAGGCAGCGGACCACGGUAGGAUCAGCGACUGGGGUGAAGUCGUAACAAGGUA